AUUGAACGCUGGCGGCAUGCUUUACACAUGCAAGUCGAACGGUAACAGGCCGCAAGGUGCUGACGAGUGGCGAACGGGUGAGUAAUGCAUCGGAACGUGCCCAGUCGUGGGGGAUAACGCAGCGAAAGUUGCGCUAAUACCGCAUACGAUCUAUGGAUGAAAGCGGGGGACCGUAAGGCCUCGCGCGAUUGGAGCGGCCGAUGUCAGAUUAGGUAGUUGGUGGGGUAAAGGCUCACCAAGCCGACGAUCUGUAGCUGGUCUGAGAGGACGACCAGCCACACUGGGACUGAGACACGGCCCAGACUCCUACGGGAGGCAGCAGUGGGGAAUUUUGGACAAUGGGCGCAAGCCUGAUCCAGCAAUGCCGCGUGCAGGAAGAAGGCCUUCGGGUUGUAAACUGCUUUUGUACGGAACGAAACGGUCCUGGUUAAUACCCGGGGCUAAUGACGGUACCGUAAGAAUAAGCACCGGCUAACUACGUGCCAGCCGCCGCAGUAAGAC
rnacentral:rRNA from 1 species